UUCGAUACACAUUAUUCUAGUUAGUAAGGGGAAAAUUGGACUAAACGCAUUGAUACGACUGAUACAAGUUAAAAUUUUCAACAAAACGGAAGUAUAGUUAAAGUUUUGAUUUAUUAUCGAUACAAAGCAUAGGAGGCGACGAUCAAGGGUUGUUGAAUUCGAUGUCCUAAGUGUAAAGGGCCUAUUUUGCCUGGGCCCAAAUCACAGACAAAUAAAACAAAAAAAUUUAACCAAAAAUCUAAUAUUAAAGUCCUACAAGCCCAAAAUAAAAAAAAAACAAUUGCCCAAUAUGACCCAAAUCAGAAAAACAUGGCCUAUAAUACCUAAAUAGAAAAAGAAACCCUAGCCCCCUAACCCAAGUGCCGCAUGUCCCUAAGUCGCACCCUAUUGCCGCUGUCACCUCUGUCAC
rnacentral:lncRNA from 1 species